rnacentral:rRNA from 1 species
UGCGCCUGGCGGCCUGCCUUCACAUGCAAUCCAACUCCGGCGGGAAAAAAAAGCUUGCACCUUUCCCCCCCUGUGGGGGGAAAAAAGAGUAAUACAUCGGAACAUGUCCUGUAGUGGGGGUUUUUCCCCCGAAAGCCGGAGGAAUACCGCAUACGAUCCACGGAUGAAAGCGGGGGACCUUCGGGCCUCGCGCUAUAGGGUUGGCCGAUGGCUGAUUAGCUAGUUGGUGGGGUAAAGGCCUACCAAGGCGACGAUCAGUAGCUGGUCUGAGAGGACGACCAGCCACACUGGGACUGAGACACGGCCCAGACUCCUACGGGAGGCAUUUUUUUUUUUAAUUUUGGACAAUGGGCGAAAGCCUGAUCCAGCAAUGCCGCGUGUGUGGGGGGGGCCUUCGGGUUGUAAAGCACUUUUGUCCGGAAAGAAAUCCUUGGCUCUAAUACCGUCGGGGGAUGACGGUACCGGAAGAAUAAGCACCGGCUAACUACGUGCCAGCAGCCGCGGUAAUCGUAGGGUGCAGCGUUAAUCGGAAUUACUGGGCGUAAAGCGUGCGCGGCGGUUUGCUAAGACCGAUGUGGAAUCCCCGGGCUCAACCUGGGAACUGCAUUGGGGAC